UGUUAUUUAGAUGAACCGUUUUUUUUUCUUUGUUUUAAAAUCGGUGAAUUAAUCAUGUAUUUAUUUCCAACUUGUUGUAGGUUUACAUGAGGAUCCCCUGUUCCCUGCAGGCAGCUUCCAGGAAGCACAUGGAGAAGAGAUGUGAACAAGGACCUGGAGUCUCUCCCCUGACCUGCAGUGUACUCGGUGCUGGUGCUCAACAGACAGCAGCCGGAGAUUUAUUGGAGAGAAGAUGAACUUCUAACAUGCAUGCCUGAUUCCAGACUUUCCUCUCACUCAUAAGACACCGUCUACAGUCUGGCUGUUGACACCACUCAUGUUCAUUACCAUCAUCUCCCACAGAAGGAGCCCAGCUUCCCAAAGCCUCAAACGGCCCUGGCUCAGGCACCAACACUCGAGUGCUCCUCCUGGAUCCCCACCACUGUGCCCCAUAUUGCCUGUUCUGUGGGACUAUGGUAUGUCUCUCUACCUUCCUCCUGUGACUGUGGCUCCUAGACCAUAGUUCUAGGUGUGGGGGUGUCCUGCUUCUCCUGGUGUCCCCACUGCUAACGCAGGGCCUUCCACAGAACAGAGGCUCCAUGAAAUUCUGUGGAAUAAAUGAACCAGUGAGAAGGGGGCUUAUUAAUCUCAUCAAUUUUCUCCUACUUUCUUAAAUAAUAACCUGGCAAAAUCCAAGUAAACAGAUGUGGUGGAUUAGCUGUAGAGAAGGACAGUUAGAACCUAUAAGAAGCGAGAAUUCACUACAAUCCUUUUUUAUUUUCCAAUUCUUCCAUCAACUAUAUACUGCUAAGUAAGUUCACAUAUCCAAAAUAUUUGUAAUUCCAGUUCCAUGUGAUCUUGCUCAGGGUCACAAAAUAAAAUGCAAGAGUUUCCAAACUCUUUUACAAAACA